GUGGUCGUAGCUCAAUGGUAGAGCCCCAGGUUGUGGUCCUGGUUGUUGCGGGUUCGAGUCCCGUCGACCACCCCA
rnacentral:tRNA from 1 species